UAUUUGAUAGUACCUUUACCUGGAUAACCGUGGUAAUUCUAGAGCUAAUACAUGCUAAAAACCUCGACUUCGGAAGGGGUGUAUUUAUUAGAUAAAAAACCAAUGCCCUUCGGGGCUCCUUGGUGAAUCAUAAUAACUUAACGAAUCGCAUGGCCUUGCGCCGGCGAUGGUUCAUUCAAAUUUCUGCCCUAUCAACUUUCGAUGGUAAGAUAGAGGCUUACCAUGGUCUUAACGGGUAACGGGGAAUUAGGGUUCUAUUCCGGAGAGGGAGCCUGAGAAACGGCUACCACAUCCAAGGAAGGCAGCAGGCGCGCAAAUUACCCAAUCCCGACACGGGGAGGUAGUGACAAUAAAUACUGAUACGGGGCUCUUUUGGGUCUCGUAAUUGGAAUGAGUACAAUCUAAAUCCCUUAACGAGGAACAAUUGGAGGGCAAGUCUGGUGCCAGCAGCCGCGGUAAUUCCAGCUCCAAUAGCGUAUAUUAAAGUUGUUGCCGUUAAAAAGCUCGUAGUUGAACCUUGGGCCUGGCUGACCUGUCCUCCUAAUCGAGCGCACGGGUUCGGUCGGGCCUUUCCUUCUAGGGAACCCCAUGCCCUUCACUGGGUGUGGUGGGGAACUAGGACUUUUACCUUGAAAAAAUUAGAGUGUUCAAAGCAGGCCUUUGCUCGAAUACAUUAGCAUGGAAUAAUAGAAUAGGACAUCGGUUCUAUUUUGUUGGUUUCUAGGACCGCCGUAAU
rnacentral:rRNA from 2 species